rnacentral:lncRNA from 1 species
CAAUUUCUUGGGCUUCUCUCGCGGCAUAUGGAGCUUCCCAGGCUAGGGGUCAAAUUGGAGCUAUAGUCACCGGCCUACGCCAGAGCCACAACAACAUGGGAUCCGAGACACGUCUGUGAUCUACAUCACAGCUCAUGGCAACGCCGGAUCCUUAACCCACUGAACAAGGCCAGGGAUCAAACCCCCAACCUCAUGGUUCCUAGUCGGAUUCGCUAACCACUGAGCCACGACGGGAACUCCUGCAUUUUUUUUUUCCGCUUUUUAGGGCCACACCCACAGCAUAUGGAGGUUCCCAGGCUCAGGGUCAAAUCAGAGCUACAGCUGCCAGCCUACAUCACAGCCACAGCAACUCAGGAUCAAGCUGCUGCGUUUGCGACCUAUACCACAGCUCAUGGCAACAUCGGAUCCUUAAGCCACAGAGUGAGGUCAGGGAUUGAACUCGCAUCCUCAUGGAUCCUAGUCAGGUUUGUUAACCGCUGAGUCACGAAGGGACCUCCCUGCUCAGGCAUUUUUCUUCUUCAACAAUGCAUAUUAAUAUAGAUACAAAUAUAAUAAUAUAAUGAUGUUGUUUCAACAUCAUUCAAACGGAUCCUCUAACCCUUCCUGAACAUUCUCCAAGCAACGUCGGCAAGGUCUUGCUACAAUCCAGAACUAUUUCAGACCUCAACUUAAAAAAGGUUCUUGGCCUUUCAUUGUGUCCAAGCUCUUCGUUCCAACAUUCAAAGCCCUGAGAGCCCAACCCCAUUUUAUGGCUCCAGCUUGGUUCCCUGUUAUUCUCCCUGCUCCUCCCUCUUACCCUGCUCCCACCACCACUAGAUCACGUUCUUUUACAUGAACUUGCCCGGUACCUUUCACUUCUAAGUCUUUAAGUUGUGCUGCUUCUUGUUGUCAAAGUCAUCUUCACUGCCUCCUCUGCUUUGGGGAGUUCUAUGGAACUCAAGGGUGAAGUUAAAAAUCCACAUUUGCCAAAAGUUUUCCCAGCCAUAGAACUGAUCUACCUCCUAAUUCCUCAUGGCGCCAUAAUAGCGCAUUCACAGUGGUCCCAUGAAAGCAUCAUAUAUGUGGAUUUUUCCUUUCCCAACUAGAGGUAGACUUCUUUAAUAUUUAAGUUAUUCAUCUUCUGACUUUUCCUUCCCAUGACAAUGAGCCCCAAUUUCCAACAGUCCUUUGAAAGAUGCUCAGUGCAUGAGGAUGAGCUGAAUCAAUGACAAAGGUGAGUUUAGCAUAAUCUUUGGAGGGAUCUCCAGCCAGAUUUAUCUCAGCUAUGCCCUGGCAGAAUUCCUUGAGAACAGAUGAGGAAGGGCCAGACUGAAGAGGCAUUUAAGAUAAAAAGGGGAAAAAUUAGGUUGUGCACCUCUUUCUAAGCAGAUUUUCUAAUUUUGCUAUGUCAGAAUAUGUGUUGAAUGUGCACUCCAAGAAUAUUUACUAUCGAGAUCAAACUUCAAAAGUAGUGCGCCUAGGGUGUGCUUCAAAAAGCAUUUAUUCCAACACUUACACUUUCUCUUCCUUCAUUACAAACAUGACAGGUGCCUAGAGGUGAAUUCAGUUCCUCUAACCACACUGAUUAUGGAAUGGUCAUUAGAGGCCGUGAAAAUGAAGGUUUCUGGAGAAAGAUGAAAUUACACUUAUAUUAGGAUGUCAAACAGGACCUUGCAUGAAAAGAGCCAUGGAUCCAAGGGGAAAAAGAAAAGACCAAACCCAAAUGUGAGGCCCCUAACUGUAAUAGAGAAGCUGAUGCUUGGCUUUCUGGAGAGCUGGUCGUGUGUGUGUUGAAUUACAGGCAAUUAUCGGUGGUCUCCCUGUUGGCCCCAAAGAAUUUAGAACCGCGUCAAAGGGAAAUACGAUCCACCAGAAGGGAAAUCCUACUGCAUCUUUUAACUCUGGACCAACUCCUCUAGGUAGAUGAUGCGUUUUAUUUCCAUGAUGCAUUUUAUUCUUGAAGUCUCACAAACAGUUGUUGGUGAAAGUCGAUGUAAAGGUAAAUUUCUCUCCUGGGUCACUUGUUUUGAAAAACCCAGACUGGCCCUGUGAAAUUGUUGUGAUGCUGAUGACUGAAAUAAAACUGUCUCAGUGUCUUCACUGCCAUCCAGCAGUCAAUCCACAGGGAAGAAGUGACACUUUUGCAUAAAUCAACUGUGUGUUGUUCACCACUGUGAUAAGAUUUUGGGGUGCAAGACCAUGAAGCUUGGGCUGAUUCUUCAAGGAAAAUGAUGUCCUGAUCAAUGCAAUGUUAGCAUUAAUUACAUUUCAUUGUAUUAAUACAUGCCUGGAAAGUGAUAUAUUUACAUGCCAGCAUACAAGAGACCUGAAUACUAAAAAAUUAGGGAGACCAAUCCUUCCAUUGGUCUAGACAAGCUGGAGGGCAAUGGACACUCUCCACUAAAUGCAGUGCCACCUGGGCUGAUUAGAGCUGGUUCUGCUCAACUCUGCUUCCAGCCUACAUCGACAGCAGAAACACACUGCUCUUCUGACUUAGACGGAAUGAAGCUUACUGAGUAAAAAAACCUGGAAGCUAGUUAGGAUCAUUUGUCCCACAAAUAAUCUAAAAUAUAGGACAAAUGAUCCUAUCUAUAAAAUAGAAACAGAUCACAGCCAAGGAGAGCAGACUUGUGGUUGGCAAGGGGAGGGGGUAGGAGUAGGAUGGAUGAGGAGUUUGGGGUUGGUGGAUGCAAACUAUUACAUUUGGAAUCAAUGGGCGCUGGCAUCCUACUGUACAGCACAGGGAACUGUGUGUAAUUGGGUCACUUUGCUGUGCAACAGGAAGGAACACUGUAAAUUAGCAAACUUUAAUUUAAAAAAUAAAAUAAAUAAAAAAGAAAAAGCUAAAUGCUUCAAGAAUGGCUUUCCCUAGGUUCUUAUUUUCCAAAUUGGAUUAAAAAUUUGACACUAACUAAAUGUGAACCAUGGCCAAAUUAGUUUAACAUUCCCAUGUUUCAUUUUCCUCACAUGCAAAAAAUGAGCAUAUGAGCGUGUGCUGCUCCCAUACGUAAGGAGCAGCAUGCUAAAGCUGUGUUAGCCAAACCACAUUCUCAGAUAAAUAUUCUAGAUGAAAUCUCUCAUGAGUGUUCACAGAGUUUCAUUAAGAGAUGAUGUCAAGAAUGAGAUUCUAUGUUAGAAUUGUCUGGGAUAGCCUGAAUAUUGCUUGGUGAUAUUAAGUUGGAAUCUGUUUCAACUCUGGCUUUGGGGCAUAUGAAAAUCAUAUUGCAUGUUCUGGUUUCAAGUCUUUUUUUCUCCCUACAUUUAGGCCAAUAGUAAGGCAUUAUGACUCCAUAAACUUUAAGAAAACAGUUUUAGGCAAAUAUACUCAAUACCAUAGAUUUGGGGAUGCUGAUAACCACUGCUAGAAAUUUAAUCUACUCAUUCAUCUCCUUUUCAUCAUCUUUCCCAUGUUAAUGUUUAAAUAAGCAGAGGCCCCAAACGCUCACAAUUCAGGUAUUUUGUGCAUUCCUACUAUACUUGUCACAGAAAGGCACAGGCUUUGUUUAUGAGAAUGUCUUUAUCUGAUUUAUCUUGGAUUUCUUUCCACUCUCAAUCUCUGGAAUACUUCCUGGUAGAGAGGUAGAAAGUGAUGGUCAAUAAAAUUUGUUAAAGGAAUCAAUAGAUGAUUGAUUCAUCAUCUAUUGACUAGAUGGUGAAAAAAUGGAAGCCGCAUCAUCCUGAAUAGAGUGCACACACACACAUGCACACCCAUGCGCACACACGCACAUGUAUGUACACACAUGCACAGAGUCCUACCCAGGAAGCAAUCUUAGGUUACUGUAUAGUUCAGAAAUGGUGGAAAUACUUCACUUUCUCAGGCCUCACCGCCAUUCCUGGCUACAGCACAUACAACCAGUUGGCUUGGCAACUCUUCUGCUGAAAAUCCUCGUCCUUCCCCAGGUCUGAGGUACUGAGAUGAUGACUACUGAUUCGCGAGUUGUCACUUGGGAGGAAAUCAAUGUCUGACCUAGACACUGCUUCUCACUGGUCAAAAAAAUGGUCAUGUGUUGGGUUAAGUAGAUCCCUCAAUGGAUUGAAACAGAAAAGAACUCAUAACAACUUGGCAUUGGUCAAAGGAAGCCAAGGAAGAUAGAUGGUCAAACUGCAUUAACCAAAAAUGCCAGAUGAGGUUUCAGGGCCCUUGACAGUCAACUGACUCAGGAAAAGCAUUUCUACUGAUUAUCAAAUGGAAUCUAUCAUGUCCAAGUUUCAUCAUCUCAAUUGUGAGCAAAAGCAGAGGAACAUUUAUUAAUGCAAAGCAAAGAGAAUGCUUGCUAACACCCUUGCCAUUUUGUUUCAAAGUAUAGUAAAAAAUUUGGGCACUCUCUCUCCCCCAACUAGUUUCUUUCCUCGGCUUUUAUGUGGGCAGGGUUGUUGUAAUUUCUCUGUUCAAAUAAAGUCUGUAGAAAGCCACAAAAGGAGAUCUGGACCCUACAGCUUAACGGAUUCUGGAAAGCAGCUGGCUUGUAACAUGAGUCAUUCCAGCCAAGGCUUUCUCUUUUGUAUGUUUUUCUCUGACCUAAAGAGUGGGUUAUUGGAUGUCUUCUGGCAGGUGCUAUGGGAUUAAGGAGGUAGUUGGUCAGAAACAAACUUUGAAUUAGGUUUUUUUUUUAAGAGUUUACUAAAGUAAAUAUGAUCGUUAGCUUAAUCCCCCAUAUCUAACAUGAGGUUCAAAUUUAAUAGUGAGUUUUAAAAAUAUUGGUUGGCAUGAGCAGCUAUUAUUUAUGUACAGAUCUCUGUGUGUUUCUCCAAGAGUUUUAUUUUAAUGUUUAUGAUGAAAUCUCCAGUACAUUUUUACUUAUCAGGAUACAAACAUCUCAAAAACUCAAAUGUGCACAUUAUUUUUCCUUUUCUGCCAUUCUGAGAGAAAAGCAAGUGGAAUAUUAAUAAAUUUACAACAGAGGGGGAUUAUAUUCUAAGUCAUUUUUCAGAGCCUUCGCAAGGUCUGUGGGGAUUCAGAACAAUCUCCCACACCUGUAAUUCUGGGACAUGAUAAAUUAAUAGAUUCUCAUAUGAUGACUCUCAGGUAUUUCUGAAAAUGCCUCAAGUUUCUGAAUCACUGAAGAAAGAUUAACUCAGCUGGCAUCUAUUUUUAGUGUUGUCAACUCUCUAUAUGCCUAGUACUCGAUUUAGCAAAAACUGGUGGCCUCCAUAUUUUAUAUCUAUAUACAUGUGAUACAGGAUGGGGUCUACUUGCUUAUGUCAUCAUCAGCAUCAAUCACGUCACUCAAGUUACUAAAGGGAAGGAGCUUAUGGGGAGAAUUUGGUUGGUAAGAAAAGACAAAAGAAGGGGCAAAUAUAGUAGCCUUUUGCAUCUAGAAAGUAUAAAACAUCAGAUUUCAGAUAUAAAGAGCUAAAUUCAAACUUCAGGAGUUCCUAUCAUGGCUCAGCAGAAAUGAAUCUGACUAGCAUCUGUGAAGACGCAGGUUUGAUUCCUGACCUCGCUUAGUGGGUUAAGGAUCUGGUGGUGCCAUGAGCUGUGGUGUAGGUUUCAGAUGCUGCUCAGACCUGGCAUUGCUGUGGCUGUGGUGUAGGCAGGCAGCUACAGCUCUGAUUCAACACCUAGCCUGGGAACCUCCACAUGACAGGGGAGUGGCUCUAAAAAGAAAAAAAAAAUCCAGCUCCUCCUCACAGAACCUAAGCAUGAUCUUGGACAACAAUUUAACCUGGAAGAGAUCCAUUUACACAUCCAUACACUGGGAUGAGUAAUAAGGCCAGCUUUCUGUCACGGGACAGUGAGGACUAAAGUGGAUCUUUCUGGUGAAAACUCUUUGUAAGCUCUUAAGUAGAAUAUAAGUCAAGGAUCAGGACACUUUUUUUUUUUUUGUAAAGUUACAGACAAUAUUUUAGUUUUUGUGGAUAAAGUCUGAAUCAAAACAACUCAACUAUGAAGUUGUAGCAAGGGAACAGCCACAGACGAUGACAAAUCAAUUUGAUUGACAAAUCAACAGGUGUGACUGAGCCAAUGAACAUCCAUUUACAAAAUCAAAGGGUGGCUAGACUUAGUCCAUGGGCUAGAAUUUGCUGACCCCUGAUAUAAAUAACAGCUCUCACCAUGACUGUACAAUGCAAAUGUCCACAGUCUAGUGUGUUUGCCAAUAGACUAUCACAGUCGUCAUAUAUAAACACCAACAUCAUUUAUCUUCAUUAAUGAUGUUUCAUCCUUUCUCCUUCCACCUGUGCUUGUAAGGAAAUGAAAUUGAAUAGAUGUCUACAGAUAGAGCGGACUUUUCACCUUGGUGUGAUAGGGCAGAGCUGAGCAGAGGCAAAGCCUUUGAGAGCUCAUACUUGCAUUUUAUGAGGUCUUCUCUAGAUAAGACUAAAAUCCAGUCAUAUUUAAAUAUACAUAUACAUCCAGUCUCCGAUUGGAUAUCAACUGUUCUGUUGAUUACAUACUUAUUCAUAGACCCACAAACAGUAAGGAAUGGCUACACCAAAAAAAGAGCGACGCUGAAAAGCUGAAGUCAGAGAGGAAGCUAUCAGAAGUCAGUUUAUUAAAGGCCUUCACCCCCAAAUUGGAGAUGGUUUAUAAUAAAAACAAUUAAACAAAGUGCAGCUAAUGUAUAGCUAAUGUAUAGCGACAGUAGGUGACAGUAGGGUUGAAGGAAAACAGCCAUCUUCACACACUGUGGGUUGGAAUGCUCCUUGGUGUAGCCUUUCAAGAGGGCAAUGUGUCAGUACAAAACUUUUUUUUUUAAGUUUUAUUAAAGUAUAGCUGACUUACAAUGUUGU